AUCUACAGCCAAACAACCCUGAACAUAUCCGAUCUCAUCUGAUCUUGGAAGCUAAGCAGAGUCGGGCCUGGUUAUUACUUGGAUGGGAGGCCACCAAAGAAUACCAGGUGCUGUCAGCA
rnacentral:rRNA from 1 species